rnacentral:lncRNA from 1 species
CCCGCUGGCAAGCCCAAGGCGAAGCCCGCUGGCAAGCCCAAGGCGAAGCCCGCUGCCAAGCCAAAGGCGAAACCUGCUGCCAAGCCAAAGGCGAAGCCAGCUGCGAAGGCGAAGCCAGCUGCGAAGGCAAAGCCAGCUGCGAAGGCAAAGCCAGCUGCCAAGGCGAAACCUGCUGCCAAGCCUAAGCCUGCUGCCAAGGCUAAGCCCGCCGCUAAGCCCAAGCCCAAAGCGGCUGUUGCUCCUAAGCCUAAAGCUACUCCUGUGAAGGCAAAGGCGGCGCCUAAGCCAAAGGCGAAGGAGACGAAGCCAGCUAAGGUUGCAAGGACUACUACUAGGACGACUCCAAGUAGGAAAGCAGCACCGAAGGCGACACCAGCCAAAAAGGAGCCAGCGAAGAA